rnacentral:siRNA from 1 species
UCAUUUGAGUUGUGGCAUAAUCGG